GCCUGGCUGGCUCAGUUGGAAGAGCAUGAGAUUCUUGAUCUUCAGGUUGUGAGUUUGAGCCCCACACUGGGUG
rnacentral:tRNA from 1 species